AGCGAACGCUGGCGGCAGGCUUAACACAUGCAAGUCGAACGAACCUUCCGGGCUUAGUGGCGGUCCGGUGAGUAACACGUGGGAACGUGCCUUUAAGUUCGGUAUAACUCAGGGAAACUUGUGCUAAUACCGCUUGUGCUCUUCCGGGGUACGAGUACUUGCCGUUAGAGGGGCGGGCGUCGGGUUAGCUAGUUGGGUGAGGGAAUGGCUCACCAAGGCUAGGUUGUGUAGCUGUUCCGAGAGGAUGAUUAGCCACAUUGGCGCUGAGACACGGCCAAGAAUCCUAGGCAAGGGAGGAGUGGGGAAUCUAGCGGAAUGGGGGAAGGCCUGACGCAGCCAUGCGGGGUAAAUGAUGAAGGUCGUAGGAAAGUAAUAUUGUUUCACCGGAGGCGAUAAUGACGGUACCGGGAGAAGAAGCCCCGGCUAACUACGUG
rnacentral:rRNA from 1 species